rnacentral:rRNA from 1 species
CAGUAGCCGCGGGAAUACGUAGGGUGCAAGCGUUAAUCGGAAUUACUGGGCGUAAAGCGUGCGCAGGCGGUUCGUUAAGACAGAUGUGAAAUCCCCGGGCUUAACCUGGGAACUGCAUUUGUGACUGGCGGGCUAGAGUAUGGCAGAGGGGGGUAGAAUUCCACGUGUAGCAGUGAAAUGCGUAGAGAUGUGGAGGAAUACCGAUGGCGAAGGCAGCCCCCUGGGCCAAUACUGACGCUCAUGCACGAAAGCGUGGGGAGCAAACAGGAUUAGAUACCCGCGUAGUCCCUGUCUCUUAUAC